ACGGCCAUACCAUGCUGAAUAUACCGGUUCUCGUUAGAUCACCGAAGUCAAGCAUCAUUGGGCGCGGUCAGUCAAACCAGGUGGGUGACCACCUGGGAGCACCGCGUGCCGUU